GACGAACGCUGGCGGCGUGCUUAACACAUGCAAGUCGAGCGGUAAGGCUCCUUCGGGAGUACACGAGCGGCGAAAGGGUGAGUAACACGUGAGUAAUCUGCCCCGCACUUCGGGAUAAGCGCCGGAAACGGCGUCUAAUACCGAAUACGACCAGCCUUCGCAUGAGGUGCUGGUCGAAAGUCUUAUCGGUGCGGGAUGUGCUCGCGGCCUAUCAGCUCGUUGGUGAGGUAAGGGCUCACCAAGGCUUCGACGGGUAGCCGGCCUGAGAGGGUGACCGGCCACACGGGAGCGGAGACACCGCCGAGACUCCGUCGGGAGGCAGAGGUGUGGAAUAUUGGAGAAUGGGCGAAGUCCUGGUCCAUCAACGCCGCGUGAGGGAUGACUGCCUUCGGGUUGUAAACCUCUUGCAGUAGCGACGAAGCGCCUUUAACGGUGGUGACGGUAGAUACAGAAGAAGGACCGGCCAACUACGUGCCAGCAGCCGCCGUAA
rnacentral:rRNA from 1 species